GGGCCCAAGGUGGAAACCCUUUCAAAAGAAAAGAACAUUUGGACUCGCAAAACGAGACCUUACAACACAUGACAUUUCAUGCUAAAAAAACGCAUAACCUUUAGCAUUUGAAUAUCAAAAUUAUUGCAUAAUAUUCAUGGAACUAACACAUACAGCAAAUCAACCUUGGAACCAUAUAGCUAUUUGAAUCAGUUAUUAACAAUGUAACAACAUGUACAAAAUUUGUUUAGAAUUCCUAAAACAAACAUCCAAAAGAGAUGAGAACCACAAAUUAAUUAGUUGUGGCCUUGUAAUCUCUUAACGGCUUGAACAAAUACAACCAAAAAGCCUAACAAAAGGGAGUUUCUAUCUCAAUCAAAACUACCUUAUAGUAAUCCACCCCAUCAUAUGACAGAAAUGUUUAAACCCAAAGUAAAUCAAAAUGAUAAAACCUGAAAUCUAAAUGCAACUCAUUACACAUUCUUCAUAAUGACACAAAGAAAUCCUUAAACAAACGAGGAAGGAGCCUGAUAGCAAGAACAUAUGAUGAAUUAAAAAAACACUGAUUUAUAUUUCAACAUCUAGAACCAACAAUAUUUCAGCUUUGCAUCUCAUGGUCGAGUGUAAUACCUGUAAAUUACGAAGGAAGAAAAAGAAGUGAAGAAUCAGCAGACAACAGCAGCAGAAAUCGUCUUGCAAACUAGCAAUGGAACAGUAUUUUAACAACCUAAAACCAAACUUUAAAACCCAAAAUUCAAGCCAUUUUAAACAACGUGCAGGAUCUUUGAAAGUUUCAGAAAUUCUAGCUAACCAAGAACCCCAAAACCAAGUAGAAUUUUGAGUAGCUUUCCAAUAUUGCAAGAUCAAUGUUCAUUUUUUUUAGACCUUUUUAGGUCUAGCCAUCUUUACUUUUUCCAGAAUUUUAGUCUUUAUAAAAUCUUUCCUUGUUCAAGAAGAUAUGGUGCCUUUAUAGGCAAGUUUUUAGGGCAUCAGAAAUGAACUAAGUUUUGCACUUCUACCCUUUCGAAAUUUUUAUUUUUGCUUAAAUAUCCUUAGUGUAAAAAUCAAAUUUUCAAUCUAGUCCUAAAGGCAGCUUCUAGGAAGCUUCCCUUAGUCAGUUACAUAAGAUUAUUUCACCUGGAAUUCUUAAAUUACCCCUUAAGACCAUGUUAAUUACUUCUACAAAUUCUUGGAUUUUAGCCAUACAUGGGCUCAAUGCUAACCCAAUUACCUAAACAGACCUCUUGGGGUUUACAAUGACUUCAAAGCCCAAAAAGCAUGAAUCAAAUCAAUAAUCCAUGCCAAACAGAAGAAAACACUUAAAUGAUUUCAAGAAUUAAACCCUAAACUAAUUGGCUGAUUAAUUAACACAAACAAGCAGGGACUUUAACUAAGUUAUUAAAUCAAAAUGACGUAACUAAAUUAAAACGUGUGACCAAAAUAGAAGGAAAAAUCAGAGAUAUAAAAUAUGACAUUAAUAAAACUAAAUCGGUCACUGAAAUUUGGAGCACAAAAACUUUUAAGAUUCAAAAAAGAAAACGAAAAUGGAACAAACAAACAUUUGUCAGUCUAGGCUUGGAAAAUUGGACGAGUUUCAACCGAAUAAAAAGGAGAAGAAAAGAAGAGGUAUAGAAGGUGAAAAAAACUAAGAUGAACAGAAAAAAAAUGAAGGGACCUCACGACAAGGCUCGAAGUCUAUAUUGGUAUUCUGAGUUAACCUAAAACAAUGUCAAUCGCUUGUUCUUGGUAAAUAACAAUCAAACAUCAUUAUUUUGUGAUAAAACAGCCUUGAAUAACUAGGGAAUUUUGAGUAAUAACCUUGCAUGCACAAAUUUGAUUUUGGCUUCUAGAGCUCGAACUUAGAUUUAACAUUCCAAAGGUUCUGGCGAGAUACAGAGAAAAUGGAGUGAGAAUUUGGAACAGGGAGGUGAAGGGGGGGUCCCUGGUGUAGAUUUGGGGUGGAUUGGAGGCGGCACCUCAAGGUGGAUAUGGUGGAAAACUAGGGUGGCUCUAGGGUUUUUGGGCGUCUCUAAAGCGGAGGGGGCAAUGAGAGAGAUAAGUUAGAGAGAGGGGGGUAGGCUUAGGACAAUUAUAUAUUAAAAGCCCCUGUUUCGGACCGUCCAACAAGUGAGAUCGAUAGUCCUGAUCAA
rnacentral:lncRNA from 1 species